CACAGUCUGCACCCCCUCCAUGCUGCAUUUACCUGGCUUGAUGUAAAACACGGGGAAGGGAGCAGCUAACUUCCCCAUGGAGGCCCCACGUUUCCGGAUGUUCUACAAUCUAAAUUCAGAGUCACAGAAGGUAAACAUCCUCCCAAAGUUUAACACAGAAACCUUCGAACAGGCUUUGACUCAUCACAGAUCUUGGCCACCAGAAUCGCUGAUACCAAGCAAUGCCAAGGGCCAGUUUUUAGACAGAUUCACUUCCUGUCCACGUCCAAGAAGUCGAUCAUCACACCAGUCACACUAUCAUUCUUACUCCCUUUUGCAGCAAAGCUUUCUCGCUGAGACGCCUGUUCACACUGUGGUCAUCAUAUUACGUCUAAAGACCAUCAGGCACUAGAUCCCAGAACCCAUUGCUGUACAGAAUCUGCCUCCUCAACAGCAGAAGCAUCCUCGAUCCCUGCCCUCACUCGUGAAGAGUCCUGGCCCAUCUGGGGCCCACAACGGCCAGAAGACUCCGUCAGCAAGUUGAUGCACUGUUUUUUUUUUUUUUUUUUUUUUUAACUUUUGAUCCUUGUGGAUGGCAUCACUGACUGGAUGGACGUGACCCUGAGUGAACUCUGGGAGUUGGUGAUGGACAGGGAGGCUUGGCGUGCUGCAGUCCAUGGGUCACAAAGAGUCGGACACGACUGAGCGACUGAACUGAACUGAAUGGAACUGAAGAAGACUGAGGAGUCGAUUUCCCUAAUACAUUAAGUACUAGGUGGCAAGAAAGUUGGUUUGUUUAUUUUAAUACAUAAUUCACUGAAAGCAAUUUUCCUGCAUCAUUUUAUGAAGUAAAAGGAAGAUGCUUAGAAGAGGUCCGAUAGAAUACUUUUUUUUUUUAAUUCUAAAGGAGCAAUAACCAAAUUAAAAAUCAU
ensembl:lncRNA